CUCAAUCUCCCGACCUUGUGAUCCACCCGCCUCGGCCUCCCAAAGUGCUGGGAUUACAGGCGUGAGCCACCGCGCCCGGCCGAAGUACAGCGUUUAAGCAACUUAGUAUAGAAAGGCUGAAUAGGAAACAAUUAUCAGAGAAUACUGUUCAAGGGAUAAUGCCCAGGCAACAAUGAAGAGGAUGAGAUGAAGAAGGUGCAAGUGUGCCUGCGUGCCUUGGGGUGUGUUUUACUAAUAAUCUGUGUGUUUUCCACAGUCCCUGCUUCCCGAGGUUGUGGUAUUGGUAGGGGUAACAGGCCAAUCGGUGUGGCUUCAGCUUCUGAGGAUCUGCCGGGUGCUGAGGUCUCUCAAACUCCUUGCACAAUUCCGUCAAAUUCGAGUUAUUAUUUUGGUCCUGGUCAGGGCCCUCAAGGGCAUGACCUUCCUCUUGAUGUUGCUGCUCAUCUUCUUCUACAUUUUUGCUGUGACUGGUGUCUACUUCUUCUCAGACUACACCCGUUCACCUCGUCAGGACCUGGUGUACCAUGUGUUCUUCUCGUAAGCAGAGCUGGGGGACAGCUGGGUGAGGGGAGAGAAUUUGGCUAAGAGACCGGGAAGCUUGUCCAAAGUAUAGUAAUAUAAAUACAGUCUAUUCCAAGAAACAAAUAGAACACAAUAGGGAGAGGGAAAGAGAAAGCAAAAGAAUAGUGAGUGGUUUUAGCUCUGAUCUUGAGAGUGGGGCAGCUAGUUCCAUGUUUAUUCUGGGUUUGGAAAUUCAAACCACACUGUCAUCAGGCAUCUUUAAAUAGCAGUACACUCCAGUGGUUAAGCUUGGUUUCUGUGAGUCAGU